rnacentral:rRNA from 1 species
CCGCUGACGACCGGCGCACGGGUGCGUAACGCGUAUACAAUCUACCUUUUACAGGGGCAUAGCCCGGGGAAACCCGGAUUAAUAUCCCAUAGUAUCAUUUAGUGGCAUCACUUGAAUGAUUAAAGUUUCGGCGGUAAAAGAUGAGUAUGCGUUCUAUUAGCUAGAUGGUAAGGUAACGGCUUACCAUGGCUACGAUAGAUAGGGGUCCUGAGAGGGAGAUCCCCCACACUGGUACUGAGACACGGACCAGACUCCUACGGGAGGCAGCAGUGAGGAAUAUUGGACAAUGGGCGAGAGCCUGAUCCAGCCAUGCCGCGUGCAGGAAGACUGCCCUAUGGGUUGUAAACUGCUUUUAUACGGGAAGAAACACUCCCUCGUGAGGGAAUUUGACGGUACCGUACGAAUAAGGAUCGGCUAACUCCGUGCCAGCAGCCGCGGUAAUACGGAGGAUCCAAGCGUUAUCCGGAAUCAUUGGGUUUAAAGGGUCCGUAGGCGGGAUAAUAAGUCAGUGGUGAAAGUCUGCAGCUCAACUGUAGAACUGCCAUUGAUACUGUUGUCCUUGAGUAAUUAUGAAGUGGUUAGAAUAUGUAGUGUAGCGGUGAAAUGCAUAGAUAUUACAUAGAAUACCGAUUGCGAAGGCAGAUCACUAAUAAUUUACUGACGCUGAUGGACGAAAGCGUAGGUAGCGAACAGGAUUAGAUACCCUGGUAGUCUACGCCGUAAACGAUGGUUACUAGCUGUUUGGCUCGAUUGAGAGCUGAGUGGCUAAGCGAAAGUGAUAAGUAACCCACCU